CAUAUCAAGGAAGGAAGAGAGGAGGGAGGGGGAGAAAGGAAGACCUACCUUUUAGGUGACUCUGAUGCAUGGGUCCAUGGUCUGGCAUUUAUUUGAUGCCACUGCUAUACAAUGGCUUGCCAAUAAUGCAAGGUUGUGUUUGGUUAUCUAGCGACAUGAGAGUUUGGCAGAUGGAUAGGUAAUGAGCAUAGGUUCUAGAAAUCUUUUAUGUCAUUGGUUCUGAUAUGCUAAUUAAUAAGGUAAUCCGUAGCCUCUUUCCUUCGUAUAAAGACAGCUUGACUCCCUCACCUCUUACCUUAUUAUUAGCUCAAGAGUAAAGUCUGUGCAGUCAGUUUCAAGCUUGCCUGGUGGGCCAGGCUCACUUUGAGAAAGAUAAAAUGCUUUAGUUUUGUGGCCCUGGGAGCACAGUGACCUGGCGUGCAGUCUCUGCAGGAUGUGGGGCCAUGUGGACCGAUGGAGGGUUGUUUGGUGCCCUCUAGUGGUUGGAACUGUUCAACGACUCCUAAGACGGGGGCUCACCCCCCUUGAGCAGCUGGCUUUAAUGAAAAGAAACAGGAUUCGGCCUUGAACUUGCUGUUGGGAGACCCGCGGUGUCUUGCCAGAGCACCUCCCCUCUCCGGUCUCAGUAUUUUAAAGCAUAAAUUGGAAGAGGUGGACAAAGCUGUCCGUGAGCAGGGAGCCAGCCCGUCCAGAGGGCUGCCGGGGAGACCAGUCACGGAUGCAGUCUAGGCAAGAAGGCACAUGCGACAGCCACUCGAGUCUGUCCCCACUGGCGUGGGAGCUCUCCGAGACCAGGACCUUGGCUUAUUAUUUAUCUUUGUGUCCCUAACAUCUGGCACAGAGAAAGUAUUCGAUAAACGUGUAUUGAAAGGAGGGAGGGAGAAGGAAGAAAGGUAGUUUGGCGGAGGCUUAUGUUUGCGCAGAAGUGGGCGGGUCAAGAUGAAGUCCUGUGAAGUGGAGCCGAGCACGGUAUCGCUCCACGUCAGAAACCUGAUGCAGAGGCGACCGAAGACACCGUGGGUCUCAUGCUGCCCCCUGAGGAGGAGACACCUGGAUUCUGACUCCAGAGGCCUGGAACUCUUUGACUCCCUGUAGGGCGGCGCAGGGGUCCAGAAACCUUUCUCCUGACCACCAGAUGUAUUCCUCCGCCUGGAUGUCCUUAGGCAGAUCAGUCACACUCAUCUCUUCAGGACUGGACCCACCGUCUUCCUCAACAUGCGUAAAUAUGCUCCAGUGUUCCCAUGCUGGAAUUGCAACACUGCAUGCAGCUGCCCAAACGGCAGUAAGAGCCUUGGUGCAGGGGCUUUCUUUUCCCUGCUUCCCAAGCACUGUUGAUUAUUUUUCUUAAAUAUAUUCACCCCUGCCCUCUAACGAACCCCCAACCCCCAGUCCUACUCCAAUAAGGCAAUGGCCUUAUUUCAAGCCUUCCUACCUUCUUUCUCUCUCCCUCUACACCAGCCUCCAAAACAGGUCCAGAAAGAUCUUUCUGUCCGCAAAUCAGAUAAUGUUGCUUUCAUCACCAGAAUUUGCCACUGGCUCCCCACUGGCUCUAGGACAUAGCCUUAAGUCCUUCCACGGUGCCCAGGGCCUUCCUAGAGGUCCCUGCUGGGCUGCUCUUAAUGUCUCUAGCUGUGCUCCAGCAACACUGACCUGGUCAUCACGCUCUCUGCUGAGGACAUCCCUCCUCUCUCUGUCCCUCUAGCAAAUGCUUUCUCUUCCAUAAAGACUCAGCUCAGAUGUGCCCUCUGAGAGGCCCCGAGGAGAUGCUUGGCAUGCCUCUCCCACUGCCCUUCAGUCAUACCUUCAAUAUAGUGAUUAUCUUGUGGUGUUCAUUGUUUGUUUGCAAGUCUAACAGUAAACUCCUUCAGAGCAGAUUACCACCUCUGUUCCCAUUUAUAUCCCAAGUGUCUGAUGCAGUGCCUGGUACCUAGCUAAUGCUCAGGAGAUAUUGGCUGGGAUUAUCUUGAUCCUCAAAACCCUUGGUUGCUGUUCCCUUUUUAUCUGUUGCAGAUACAGCUUCCAUGUCAGGGUCGCAGAGGGGCUGUCCCAUGUCACAGAUCUCUGUCUCCCCCUUCUCUUUUCUCUUCUAUCACUUAGGUUUCUUUCCUCCAAUCUCCUCUUUGAGAGAAAACUCUCGUCUCUCAUGCCAUAUCUUGAAUUUUUCUUUGUUCUGUAUCCUCUUGAGACCCAGCCUGUCCUGUGAAAAUGGACUCAGACCCUCUGGCCAGGCCCCAGCUCUUGUGGCAGGUCAGAAGUGGAACCUGGCACCAUCAUUAUGCACAUUUCCUGGCCUGGCUUUGCCAUCCUUGCUGGCUUCAUCUCAGCUAAUGGGCUUUUGUUUGUUGAUGCCAACUCUUGUGCUAUUUCCUUUUCUAGUCUUGGUUUCAAGUUCCUUCUUCAGACAUUUAGUUACCAGGAAGAAAAGGAGGGAGGGACAUAUUUCUGUGAAGAACUAAAUUAUUAUAAAAUCGUGGUGUCCUUCCUGUCAGUGGUGUGGCACCCACAGGAAGGCAGAUGAGGUGUUCCUCUGGCUCAUUCCUGCUUCCACCCUCACACCCUGACCUUCUCUUGAGAGGUCAGUUUCCUCCUACAUGCCCUCCUGCCCAAGUUUUCACCAGCCUCUUGCUUUUUACCUCCCUCAGUUGGUGGCAAAUUUUCCAGUCCCCAAAUUGGAAAGCUUGACAAAGGCGAUUUUCUUAUUUGUGAGUUUAUUUGCUUGAUAAGCCUUAGGAAACCUUACAGCUGUAUUGCAUUUGAGUACCUCUGUACCAAUUUUAUUGAAAAAGAAUAAAAUUACAUUAAUUGGAAUUUUUUUCUAGAAAGUAUGAUUGUGAGAUUGCCGAGGCAAGGCAAGCUAUUGCAGAAAAGUAAGAAGACUAGAAAAGGGAGGAAUGACAUACUCUAUCUUAGCUAGGUUUUCAGGAAGAGAUUUUACAAAGCUUGAUUCAACCAAAACUACUUUUGUAUUAGUCAAGCAUGUUGGUAUGUACAAUUCAUUAUUUAAAGAUAUUUUUCAAAUAAAUUAGAAAAAGAAAAGUGACAAGGGACAUGAGAGAGAAUUGCCUAAAUUGACUGUCAUUAACCAUAAAUAUCUGGAAAAUGAGGGCAGAAGCAGUGUUAUGGGUUGACUCAUGUGCUCCAAAAGGAUGUGUUGAAAUCCUAACCCCCAGUCCUAACGUUAUUUGGAAAUAGAGUCAUUGCAAGUGUAAUUAGUUAAGGUGAGGUCAUACAGGUGGGCCCUUAAUCCAGUGUGACUGUUGUCCUUGUAAGAAAGUGAUGUGAAGACACAGAGAGGAUGACAUGUGACAGCGUGUUGGAGGCGGAGAUUGGAGCCAUGCAGCUGCAAGCCAGCAACACCAAGACCUGCUAGCAACACCAGAAGCUGAGAGAAGGGCAUGGAACAGAGGCAGCAUGGUCCUGCUGACCCCUUGAUUCUGGACUUCUGCCCUCCAGAACUAGGAGAGAAUAAAUUUCUGUUGUCCUACCCUA